CGGAGAGGGAGCAUGAGACACGGCUACCACAUCCAAGGAAGGCAGCAGGCGCGCAAAUUACCCAAUCCCGACACGGGGAGGUAGUGACAAUAAAUACUGAUACAGGGCUCUUUUGGGUCUCGUAAUUGGAAUGAGUACAAUUUAAAUCCCUUAACGAGGAACAAUUGGAGGGCAAGUCUGGUGCCAGCAGCCGCGGUAAUUCCGGCUCCAAUAGCGUAUAUUAAAGUUGUUGCAGUUAAAAAGCUCGUAGUUGAACCUUGGGCCUGGCUGGCCGGUCCGCCUCACCGCGUGCACUGGUCCGGCCGGGCCUUUCCUUCUGGGGAGCCGCAUGCCCUUCACUGGGUGUGUCGGGGAACCAGGACUUUUACUUUGAAAAAAUUAGAGUGUUCAAAGCAGGCCUAUGCUCGAAUACAUUAGCAUGGAAUAAUAGAAUAGGACGUGUGGUUCUAUUUUGUUGGUUUCUAGGACCGCCGUAAUGAUUAAUAGGGAUAGUCGGGGGCAUCAGUAUUCAAUUGUCAGAGGUGAAAUUCUUGGAUUUAUUGAAGACUAACUACUGCGAAAGCAUUUGCCAAGGAUGUUUUCAUUAAUCAGUGAACGAAAGUUAGGGGAUCGAAGACGAUCAGAUACCGUCGUAGUCUUAACCAUAGACUAUGCCGACUAGGGAUCGGGCGAUGUUAUCUUUUUGACUCGCUCGGCACCUUACGAGAAAUCAAAGUUUUUGGGUUUCGGGGGGGAGAAUGGUCGCAAGGGUUG
rnacentral:rRNA from 1 species